CUUAGAUUGUCACAAUUUUCCCUCAUUGACUUUAGAUUGUAACAAGUUACCCUCAUCAGCUUUAGAUUGUAACAAGUUACCCUCAUCAGCUUUAGGUGGUCACAAUUUUUCCUCAUUGACUUUAGAUUGUAACAAGUUACCCUCAUCAGCUUUAGGUUGUCACAAUUUUCCCUCAUUGACUUUAGAUUGUAACAAGUUACCCUCAUCAGCUUUAGAUUGUAACAAGUUACCCUCAUCAGCUUUAGAUUGUAACAAGUUACCCUCAUCAGCUUUAGGUUGUCACAAUUUUCCCUCAUUGACUUUAGAUUGUAACAAGUUACCCUCAUUGACGUUAGAUUGUAACAAGUUACCCUCAUCAGCUUUAGAUUGUAACAAGUUACCCUCAUCAGCUUUAGGUGGUCACAAUUUUUCCUCAUUGACUUUAGAUUGUAACAAGUUACCCUCAUCAGCUUUAGAUUGUCACAAUUUUCCUUCAUUGACUUUAGAUUGUAACAAGUUACCCUCAUCAGCUUUAGAUUGUAACAA